CAGUAGCCGCGGUAAUACGAAGGGGGCUAGCGUUGUUCGGAUUUACUGGGCGUAAAGCGCACGUAGGCGGACUUUUAAGUCAGGGGUGAAAUCCCGCAGCUCAACUGCGGAACUGCCUUUGAUACUGGGUAUCUUGAGUAUGGAAGAGGUUAGUGGAAUUGCGAGUGUAGAGGUGAAAUUCGUAGAUAUUCGCAGGAACACCAGUGGCGAAGGCGGCUAACUGGUCCAUAACUGACGCUGAGGUGCGAAAGCGUGGGGAGCAAACAGGAUUAGAUACCCCCGUAGUCCCUGUCUCUUAUAC
rnacentral:rRNA from 1 species